GACGAACGCUGGCGGCGUGCCUAAUACAUGCAAGUAGAACGCUGAAGGAGGAGCUUGCUUCUCUGGAUGAGUUGCGCACGGGUGAGUAACGCGUAGGUAACCUGCCUGUUAGCGGGGGGUAACUAUUGGAAACGCUAGCUAUUACAGCAUAAGAGUAGUUGUCGCAUGACAUUUGCUUAAAAGGUGCAAUUGCAUCACUACCAGAUGGACCUGCGUUGUCUUAGCAAGUUGGUGAGGUAACGGCUCCCCAAGGCAACGAUACAUAGCCGACCUGAGAGGGGGAUCGGCCACACUGGGACUGAGACACGGCCCAGACUCCUACGGGAGGCAGCAGUAGGGAAGCUUCGGCAAUGGACGGAAGUCUGACCGAACAACGCCGCGUGAGUGAAGAAGGUUUUCGGAUCGUAAAGCUCUGUUGUAAGAGAAGAACGAGUGUGAGAGUUGAAAGUGCACACUGUGACGGUAUCUUACCAGAAAGGGACGGCUAACUACGUG
rnacentral:rRNA from 1 species